AUAAUACUGCCACCGGGCAGCGGAAUGAAAAACAUUCGUUUACACAUCGUUAGGUCUUUGAAGAUGUGUAUGCGGGUGUUUUUUUUGA
rnacentral:ncRNA from 1 species